rnacentral:misc_RNA from 1 species
GUGAGUCAUCGAAUCUUUGAACGCACAUUGCGCCCGGUGGUAUUCCGCCGGGCAUGCCUGUCCGAGCGCUCUCUAUCAACCCUCACGCUCAGCGUGGAAUUGGGGAUUGCAGUUCGCUGCAGCCUUUUAUCUCAUUAGCGAUUACCAGUUGGUUCUGAGCGUAGUACAUACCCCGCUAUAGAACUUCCUGGUCUUCUGCCGUAAAUGGUGUAAGCCGUGUCUAAGGUUGACCUCGGAUCAAGUAGGGAUACCCGCUGAACUUAAGCAUAUCAAUAAGCGGAGGA